rnacentral:misc_RNA from 1 species
AUGGAGACAGCUGUGGUGGGGGAGGAGUACUGCGUGACGGAGAAGGAGGGGGAGAGGGAGCUCACGGUGCGGAAGACGUCGCUCUUCUUCCCCGGCGACGGCUUCGAGGCUUACGAUCACCACACCGGCGAUCUCGUCUUUCGUGUUGAUAUGUACGGCCGCGGCAACUCCGUCGCCGCCGAUCAGUUGCUACUCAUGGAUCCCGGCGGCGCUCCGAUCCUCACCGUCCG